GCAGCAUUUGGGAUGGGCUUCCAGAUUCAACCUGCUCGUCCAACCAUAAAUACUAUGAAUAUUGGAAGCCAAGGAAUGAUGUCUAAUGGACUGCACGCGGAACAGAACAGUAACUUGCAACCACCUUCUGUCAUUCCUGCUGUUCAAUCACCUCAGCAAUUUAAUUUGGGUGCAUCUUCAAGCCGUGGUAGGAAACCAUAUCAUCAUCGAGGAGGUAGUCGUUUUGCAGGUGGGAGAGGUCAGCGUCUUCAAAAUGAAGUUAAUUAGCUGUAGUGUAGCAUUUUGAAUGUCUCUUAAAAUUGGUGGGGCUUUGUGAAUUUGCCUGCUUUUUGUGCGAUAUUUUGGUAUGAUAUUUUGCUGUAUGGCUUGUUCUGCUAAUCUUUAUCAGUUUCAACUACUUGAGAUUGAGGAUGAUAAAGCUUUUGAAAUUCUGUGUCUGAAACUG
rnacentral:misc_RNA from 1 species